CUAGCGAAAGAAGAAGAA
rnacentral:snRNA from 1 species